rnacentral:lncRNA from 1 species
GUCAACACCCAAUUUCGUCCGGAUUGACUAAAUAAUAGGUUCUAUUUAUUUAUUUUAUCUUAUAUUUUGUUAUUUUCUUUCCUUUUUAUUUUCAUUUUUAAGUUAUGUUCUAAUUUUUCUUUUUUUUAUAUAUUAGUUAUUUUAUUUUAUUUGAUUUAAUCUUUUACUUAAAAAAAAAAAAGAGAAAAAGAAAAAAAAGAUUAAAAAAGAAAACGAAAAAAAAGAGAAAAUGAAAAAAAAAGAAAAAAAGAUAAAUAAAAGCAAAAAGGGAGAAAAGAAAAAGAAAAGAAAAAAAAGGAAAACUCCAAGGUCAACUCUCCGCAAGCAACCGUUGCAGCAGUGUUUAGGCGUUGAGAAUGCUUAAAAUAUGCUUGUGCAGUGGCAGCGUGAGAAAGGUUUUGUUUCCCCUUCUUAAAAUUUCCUACGUCANACUACAUUCAUCAACUACAUUCAUCAGAGGAAAGAUUUUGAAUGUUUUCUUUUAUCAACUGAUACAAUUAAUACACGAGAAAGGGAAAAAAGACAAACAAGGACAAAAUCCUAACAGAUACGCCCUGAUCAUCUAGGAAGUAGGAAGCAGAGAGGGGGGCGUUUUUNAGCAGAGCAAUUNGGUCCUCAAAGGGAGGAGGGAUAGUCAUUUGGAUGGGGGGAUUACCACGUUUUGGAUCCAUCUCCAACGCCUCACCAAAAAAGAGACCUUGUAGAGGGCAAGGGACCUCAUGGCUAGAAACAAGACAACCAUUUGCCUUCAACUUGGUUGCGAACCUUGGUGAGUGAACUUAACUUUCCGGUGCCUGCAAGAGUAUUCGGAAGCCAAAGAAAUUCAAUCGAAGAGAGCAAAGGGGACUCAAACCAAAAGAAAAAAAAAAGAACAUUGAAGCUGCGAAGGUAAGUCAUCCUACACCUAAGCUCUUUGGUCAUAUUCGGCUGUAUGCUCGUGUAUAUGCUUUCCUUGGAGAUGAAUG